CGGUCGCAAGAUUAAAACUCAAAGGAAUAGACGGGGACCCGCACAAGCGGUGGAGCAUGUGGUUUAAUUCGAAGAUACGCGAAGAACCUUACCUGGGCUUGAUAUCCUAAGAACCUUUUAGAGAUAAGAGGGUGCUAGCUUGCUAGAACUUAGAGACAGGUGCUGCACGGCUGUCGUCAGCUCGUGUCGUGAGAUGUUGGGUUAAGUCCCGCAACGAGCGCAACCCACGUAUUUAGUUGCUAACGGUUCGGCCGAGCACUCUAAAUAGACUGCCUUCGUAAGGAGGAGGAAGGUGUGGACGACGUCAAGUCAUCAUGGCCCUUAUGCCCAGGGCGACACACGUGCUACAAUGGCAUAUACAAUGAGACGCAAUACCGCGAGGUGGAGCAAAUCUAUAAAAUAUGUCCCAGUUCGGAUUGUUCUCUGCAACUCGAGAGCAUGAAGCCGGAAUCGCUAGUAAUCGUAGAUCAGCCAUGCUACGGUGAAUACGUUCCCGGGUCUUGUACUCACCGCCCGUCACACCAUGGGAGUUGAUUUCACUCGAAGCCGGAAUACUAAACUAGUUACCGUCCACAGUGGAAUCAGCGACUGGGGUGAAGUCGUAACAAGGUAACCGUAGGAGAACCUGCGGUUGGAUCACCUCCUUUCUAGAGUACAGA
rnacentral:rRNA from 1 species